UACGUAGGGUGCAAGCGUUGUCCGGAAUUAUUGGGCGUAAAGAGCUCGUAGGCGGUCUGUCGCGUCGGAUGUGAAAAUCCAGGGCUCAACCCUGGAUCUGCAUUCGAUACGGGCAGACUAGAGUUCGGUAGGGGAGACUGGAAUUCCUGGUGUAGCGGUGAAAUGCGCAGAUAUCAGGAGGAACACCGGUGGCGAAGGCGGCGACCUGGUUCGAUACUGACACUGAGGUGCGAAAGCGUGGGGAGCAGACAGG
rnacentral:rRNA from 1 species